AUUAUAUUAGUUAUGAGCUUGCUGCACUUGCCAAAGAUUUAUGGUCUGGUUGCAGUACGUUUGGCAUUGGGUUGCAUCCUACUAUCUACACUGCGGUUUUUCCGUAUUCAGGUUGGAAAAAAGUUUGGACA